GAGAGAGAGAGAGAGAGAGAGAGAGAGAGAGAGAGAGAGAGAGAGAGAGAGAGAGAGAGAGAGAGAGAGAGAGAGAGAGAGAGAGAGAGAGAGAGAGAUGGUGGGGGAGGAGAGAAGAGAAACAGGAGAGGGAGAGAGAUGGUGGAGAGAGGGAGAAAAGAGGAGAGAGACAGAGAUGGAGAGAGAAGAGGAGAGGAAGAAAGACGAAGAGAAACUGUCAGGCUCAGUUUCUGAUCUGUAUUUUACAUAAUCAGAAAACUCGACAUUUGAAGAGCUCGGCGUGGCUCAAAGGCCAGGCAAGGGGCCGCAGCAUCCCCAGUGGUCAAAGGGGCCGGACCCGCUGGGUUACAUGUGUGGGCAGCCUCCGAUUCCUCGGGCGCCUCUCACUUGCCUAGAUGAAACACCACCCUGGGGGCGGGGAGAUGGGGGAGGCAGGUGCCAUCAAUGUCAUCUUCCCCCUUUCCCCUACAAUGUCAGGGCUCUUCUCCCUCCCUGCCCCCCCUCUUUUUGAAGAACUGCAUUUAUGACUGAUCACUCAACACCUUGUUGGUUCUGAUUGCAGAAAACACACCUUAUAAAUAUAUGAUAACCAUCCUGUAAUAGUGUGACAAUUUACUUCACAGUGCGUUUCAGGCUGCUAAUUGAUCGUUUCAGUCCAGGGACUAUUUUGGAAUAAAUUAUGCCCAUCAAAAGGAUAUCAGUUCAUUUGGGUAGAAAGAUUUCCACGUCGCUUCUCGUUCAUCUGCAGCUGGAGAGGGGCUUUCACCCCGCGCGGGGAGGGAGAGCAGGGUGGGGGAGGGGCUCUGGCAGGGACAGGAUAGCUGUGGUCGGAAGGCGUGGGCUCGGAGCCCAGGGACUGUGGAGCCCGCAGUGGUCGGUAGAGGCCGCUCUCUUUGUACGCAUCGCGGGGAGUCGGAGCUGUCUGGCAGGGCGUCCGGCUCAGGGUGAGCAGGGGGCCUCGACUCAGUACCCGGACGGGGCCAGGCUUCGAGGCUGGAGGUGGAUUUUGAAAACUAGACUCGGGACAUGCUGCUUUCCGAGGCCCUUUUCCUGAGCCUCCGUGGGGGAUGAUGGCCUCUAAGAGCCGCCUGGGCGUUCCAACACCCUGGGCUCCUCGCCCACCCUGGUAUGUAGGCACCCGGGGAGAAAGCAGGGGAAGGGGAAAAGGGGAGGGGAGGGAUGUGUGAGCGCCUGGAGGCCACCUUUCUGGAGGUGAGAGGGGGCCUGGGGGAGGGAGUGGGAAGACUUUCCCAGAAAGUGCAUGUUUGUGGUUCUCUGCAGCAAGGCUGUUUGUUUCCAUUGGUAAUCACUUACCUUUAAAAUAGGGAACGAGGUCCCACUUGGGAGAGAUAUACCACACCACUAGCAAACCUGGGAUUCCCUUGUAUUGAUUUCUUCCCUCUUUGAAGGUGGAAGAGGGAGAGGUUUGGGAGGAUGCUGCAACUGUAGUCUGCCUAGGAUAGCUACCCAGUAUUUCCCUGCUUCCCCCAAUUUUUUUCAGUAUUUAGCAAUAAUUAUACCACUCCAAACGGGCAGGGAGAAGUCAUGGGAUGCUUGGACACUCAGUAAACAGGAACCCGGCCCUUUCUAUCAAUACAGGUAGAAUAAAACUCUCCUCCCUCCCUCCA
ensembl:lncRNA